rnacentral:rRNA from 1 species
GUGGGGAAUCUUGCGCAAUGGGCGAAAGCCUGACGCAGCCAUGCCGCGUGAAUGAUGAAGGUCUUAGGAUUGUAAAAUUCUUUCACCGGGGACGAUAAUGACGGUACCCGGAGAAGAAGCUCCGGCUAACUUCGUGCCAGCAGCCGCGGUAAUACGAAGGGGGCUAGCGUUGCUCGGAAUUACUGGGCGUAAAGGGCGCGUAGGCGGACAGCUUAGUCAGAGGUGAAAGCCCAGGGCUCAACCUUGGAAUUGCCUUUGAUACUGACUGUCUUGAGUUUGGGAGAGGUGAGUGGAACUCCGAGUGUAGAGGUGAAAUUCGUAGAUAUUCGGAAGAACACCAGUGGCGAAGGCGACUCACUGGCCCAAUACUGACGCUGAGGCGCGAAAGCGUGGGGAGCAAACAGGAUUAGAAACCCUGGUUCC